rnacentral:tRNA from 1 species
GCCUGGCUGGCUCGGUUGGUGGAUCAUGAGACUCUUGAUCUCAAGGUUGUGAGUUCAAGCCCCAUGUUGGGUG